GGAACAAUGGUGCUUUACGAGAAGGAAACAACAAUCAAUGCCUAACAGAAUCUCCUUUCAUGCCGAAUGUAGAAGAUUUUGAAGAUGUCCAGUUUGAUCUGGAAUUAGUUCACUUUAUUUAGCUACUUCUGAUGAUAUCCUUUAUUCAGGUACUGCAAACUUAUUAUGCCAUCAUAUUUUAUUAUACCGCAGGAAGAUCAGGAGAUGUUUUUUAUGCGAAUUGAGACGAAGUAGUGGUUGGUGCUAUAGCAGUUGUGUCAACUAUUGGAGGUUUUGGAAGUGAUGAACAAAUGAAAAAUAUAAAUGGUGAGGCGAACGUUUUGGCAGUAGAUGCUGCAAAGGAGUAUGGAAUUCCCAAGUUUGUGCUGAUCUCUGUACAUGACUACAAUCUCCCGCCCUUUCUACGGUCUUCCGGAUACUUCACUGGAAAGAGAAAAGCAAAAUCAGAGGUUCUGUCGAAAUUCCCAAACAACCUUAAUCCAUAAUAUAAAAACGUCGUUAUGUGAGUUUGUACAUAAGGGAAUUCCUUCCAUUACAAACUUAUUUUUAGC